UACGUAGGGGGCUAGCGUUGUCCGGAAUCAUUGGGCGUAAAGCGCGUGUAGGCGGCCCGGUAAGUCCGCUGUGAAAGUCGGGGGCUCAACCCUCGGAUGCCGGUGGAUACUGUCGGGCUAGAGUGCGGAAGAGGCGAGUGGAAUUCCUGGUGUAGCGGUGAAAUGCGCAGAUAUCAGGAGGAACACCAAUGGCGAAGGCAGCUCGCUGGGACGUGACUGACGCUGAGACGCGAAAGCGUGGGGAGCAAACAGG
rnacentral:rRNA from 1 species